ensembl:snoRNA
AUCCUUUUGUGGUUUGCAAGCGUGAUGAUUGGGUUUUCAUGUGCAUGCGUGACAUGUGCCUCCCACAAAUCUUGUUACAACGUCGGCACAUUACCCGUCUGACA